rnacentral:rRNA from 1 species
UACGUAGGGUGCAACCGUUAAUCGGAAUUACUGGGCGUAAAGCGUGCGCAGGCGGUUUUGUAAGUCUGUCGUGAAAGCCCCGGGCUCAACCUGGGAAUUGCGAUGGAGACUGCAAGGCUUGAAUCUGGCAGAGGGGGGUAGAAUUCCACGUGUAGCAGUGAAAUGCGUAGAGAUGUGGAGGAACACCGAUGGCGAAGGCAGCCCCCUGGGUCAAGAUUGACGCUCAUGCACGAAAGCGUGGGGAGCAAACAGG